GAAGACACAAAGCUAUUCACUACAUAGUGAUCAGUGCGAAACGUUGCGGUUUUACACUAGCAGACGUGGACGCUUGAUUGCUAUUUUGCAGAUUAACUUUAUGUAAAUUAAAGCAUUUUUCAAGGAAUAAUAAAUGCAUUCACAUUGAUAGGACGGUAAACGGAAAGGAAUUAAAGUGUCCCUGCCUUAAUCAAAGGUACUUGGAAGUGUAUACGGUCAAAUAUGCGCCAGUUGAAAGGGAAACCGCAGAAAGAAACAAGAAAAGACAAGAGAGAAAGAAGAAAAGAUAACAUAGAAAACAAAAACAAUGUAACAAGAGUUGUCUUGCCUGUGUGUGGCGUACUGAUUGCCGUGCUCGUUGCCUUUGUUUUAUACAGCACGAAUUUCAAACUAUGACCUGGCGUUUACUAAAAGAUGACAGCGUGUCGUAGUGACAGUGACUUUGCGAUUUGUCAGUGAAAUUUUCUUUAAAGUAUAACCUGUAUCUGUUUAUUUACAAAACGUUUUAUCUAAAUUCAUGGACCUCUUUUCAAAAGUUUAUAAGCUUCAUCCUAAGGUAUCGACUUUGAAAACCAAAUUAUUUCGUAGGAUUUAACUUGUACUAUCAUUUUAAAAAGUUGUCAUUAAUUCAAUUUUAUGACAAUUUUUCUUCGGCGCAUGCUCUAAGAAUAGCCAACUUAUUGAAAUGAUGUUCGUGAAACACAUUACUAUAUUUUAACUUUGUUUUGAGUAUUGUAGACUUCAUAAAAUGGGCCUCUGUUCUCAGCGCCUCGGACAUAAAUAUUUAAGAAGUUGAAUUUCAAUUUUAUCUCGGCAUGUGACUGUCUGUUUGAAUAUGAAUUGGAAUAUUAUUGUUUUGGUUCUGUUUUUAAGAAACAAGCUAAUUUAAUUAUAAGUGAUGAUAACUCAGGUUCUGCUAUUUUAAGCAUCUUAUAACUAUAUCACAGUGUGCGUAUAUGCAUGCUGACAAUGUUUUUUUUU
rnacentral:lncRNA from 1 species